CAUAUCAACAAGGACUACCACAACAGACCUUAAGAAUCAUUUUCAGAGAAGCAGAGGAGCUGUAAAGUGGGGAGCAGCAUUGAAAGUGUAUGGAAUUGAGGCUUUACCAAUCUAUAAGAAGGUGAAUGGGAAUCCAUCCAAAUGCAAGCUGAUCCACCCUCCCCCACCCCCACCUACAGAGCCAAAGCCAGGGCCAGCGAACACCAAGAUGAUCAAGCAAUGGACUCCUCUAGGGAUUGGAUGCAAAGUCAUCUUCUUUUGGAGUCUGGCCCAUUCUAUUCCCCUGAUGGAAUUUGCUGAUAAUAUUCAAGAAAAAAAUCAAGGCAGAAUCAUCAGAGGAAUCAGUACUCUGUAUAUUUUAUAGACUGUUCUGUAGAAGCUAAUUACUCUAGAUUUUCUAGGCCUUCUUCUACUUCAAUUGUCCCUUCAGUAAUCUCCACUUAAAUUGCCAGAGACUCCAACUCGUCAUUUAUAAUACAGAAAAAAGACUUCAUAUUCCCAGGGAAUUGACAGCUUAUCACAUAAAAUGUGUUCCAUCUGCCACUUCAACAAUGAAUAAGUGAACCUCCUCUUUGUCCUUCAUGCUAUCUGCCUUAAUUUGGGAUGAUUUAGAGUAUGUACAAAUUCUCAGUAAUUACAAAAC
rnacentral:lncRNA from 1 species